rnacentral:lncRNA from 1 species
CUGCACGACCUGUACUUCAGUCACCAGACACUCCUCCAGGCCGGCUUUGCCCGCCUCCCAGACCACCUGCAGAGACGAGAGGAGGCAGGGGUCACACUGGAAACAAGCGACGCUCGCGGACGCCCUCGAGGGCUCACCUUCUGCAGAUCACGAAGACACAGACCAGGGCCAGCAGCGUCCCCAGCGCGAUCAGCAGCGACGUCCGCCAGGCCACCUGAGUACCAGGACCGGGAGCGACUUCCGGACCUCCCAGCCCCAGUCUGGAACCCUAAGGGAGCGGAAAGACCACCAGGGAUCCCUGUCUGCCUGGUGCUCGGGACACGGGGAGCGCCAGGGACUUCCACUGUGCCCAGCAGGCCGGCAGAGACCGGGUUUCACCGUGUUAGCCGGGAUGGUCUCGAUCUCCUGACCUUGUGAUCCGCCCGCCUCGGUCUUUAUUACAAGGCCCAGGGGGUGUCUGUCAGUGGGACGACCUUGUUUCCCCUCCACGUCUCCUCUCGAUUGAGUAGCUGGAAGGAGGUUCUGUCUCUGACCUGUGGUUUGAAAGAAAAUAAAGAAGAGGGGCCAGAUACUUCAAAUUACUUCUCCUAUGCAUUUGGAGAGCGGGAGAGAAAAACACCAGGAAGGAAGAGGGAACAAAGAAACUCUACAGGCAGAGACACAGGACUGAGCCGCGUUGGGGGCACUGGGAGGAGUGAGCCUUGGGGUUGCACCCUCGGAGCCCCACUGUCCUGGGAGCAGCCUUCAGAACCACCCUUUUGUUCUCUGAAGUACCAGGCGUUCAGCUUUUCCAAGGACUGGCAGCUGCACAUCUUUGUCCCUGCCCCUUCCAUCUCUAGGCUCAGCCCCGCUGGGCAGCCUGGCCCACUCCCCACCCCUGCCCAGGGCCAACCCCUACUUCCCAUGCCCCCUCUGCCCACCUGCAGCACACUGGAGCCUUGGAGGCCCUCUCUGCAUCAUUCAAGAUGCAGACUCCUACACUUUGACCUGCACACAUCCUCCUGAAGCUUCCACUUCCUGGCCCCUGCCUGGCUUCUCACCUCCCCCACCUCCGCCCCCCAGGGGAUGUGCCGCCUCUCCCAGUGGCCCAGGACAUCCUCCACUUCCCGGGAACCCCAGGCACUUCCACAUCCUCAGACACAGUGAGAAGAUGACCCUCUCUCCAAGCCAGGAAGAGACCUCCCGAGGAGCCCAGCCAGCCAGCACGCUGACCUCCAACGUCCAGCCUCUGGAAAUGGGAUACCGAAGGCUGCGCUCCUGCCCCGCACCAGGAUGUGGGAACUUUGAGAACCGCUGGAGAGUCGAGAGAUGUCAUCGAAACGACACCCGAUACGUGUUCCCUGAGCAUCCGUUUUGUAGUGAAGACACUCGUACUGUUGACGCCUGCUGCGGUAAGCGAGUCUCGCUCCGUCGCCUAGGCUGGAGUACAAUGGCGCCA